AAACAUUGACCAGCCCACCCACCAGCGAGCCCACCUCCAUUCCGCCGCUGCUGCCUUCACUACGCUCCACACGCAGCAGCGCUCUUCACCGCCAAACCAGCCGGACUUCAUCUGCAGAAAACACACACGCAUAAAACAAAAAAAAAAAAUUCAAUUCUUCUUAGUUUGAAUCUGUUUGUCCAUUUCAAAAUCAGAAACAAUUUUUUUUUUUUAGUUUAGCUGCUCUUUAAUUUUCCGCUUUCUUCUUUCUAAUUUUGGAUUCUACUUUUCCGAAAUCUUCCUCUGUUUUGUUUCUUUGAUAUCCGAAAAAUCAAAAAAACAUACACAAAGAAUAGAUUCUGGAAUUUCUUCCUCAUUUUUCAAUUUUGCUGUUCAAACAUGGGAAUCGACUGAGUUCGGAGUCCAUCAACUUUUCCUGCGUCGUUCGAGUCGCUGAAGGUUCGGAGUUUCGGGCCUGUUUUUCGGUCGGGUUUGUCCGUGCUUAGCUUCCUUGACCUUCACUGGGAUUGAC
rnacentral:lncRNA from 1 species